rnacentral:lncRNA from 1 species
CAAGCACCGGCGUGCGACCCCGACGCCGCCUCCCUCCAUGAAGCGCCGGCGCCCGACCCCGUCACCUACCUCUGGUACGCCAUCGCGCCUCCGCUGCCACCUAGGGUGCCCCUGACGUCGCCCAGCUCCUCCUCACGCGACGACCCCCUGCGACGCACGCCUCCUCGAUGUUCUGCCCCGGACACGGGCGCCUCCCCGUCCACCCUCCGGCGACCGAAACCAGCUCCGCCCGCCGUAGCAGAGGACAGGCCCCGUUCGUGGCCUCCCCUCCCCUCCGCCCGGGUGCGACCUUCCCUGCGCUCUGGCGCGGCCUGCCCUCCCCUCUGGUGCGACCUGCUCUCUGGUACGGCCCGCCCUCCUCCAGCGCGCCUGCACUCUGCUCCGUCGGCGCAACGACCGAGCACCAGACCUCCCUCCUCUCUCCCACUAGGACGGCAGUGCAGGUGGCUAGUGUUUGAAGUUCGGUUGUAUAUUCAUUGCCGUGGAUGACGUUUUAUGUUGUAGUAGUGUAGCCGUGGCCUACAUUUAACAAUAGUAGAUAUGUAUGUACUGAUCGUGCGCUAGUAGUAACCCAGAUUUACUUUGUUCUAUCUCCCUUUGAGGAAUGAAACUGCAGAGAUAUAUUACUUUUGCUUGGAGUUCUCUGAAAAUGUUCUUUGAAAUGCUCUCUGAAAAUGUUGUUACUUUUCCUUGCUGCUUCCUUUUACAAGACUGCGCUGAAACAAUAUUAGUAGUAGUAUAUUGUUAUAGUAUACGUUCAGAUUUAGGCAGAAGAAAUAUGGUCAUUUCUGCUACUGUCCUUGGGAGUGUAUUUCCUCCAUACCUCAAAACAUGUUCAUUUCUGUUCUGUAUGGCACAUUUGCACACCUCUCUUCGCGGCACAAAAUUUAAAUUGUGCUUGUCUUGUAUAUUUGCUUGCAUGCUUGUGUAAACAAAGUGAGUAGUACAUGUGACCAUAGAUGAUAAAUACACAUAUCCUAUAAGCUAAACUGAAGCUUGCUACUUGUGUAUGAUCAGCUAUAAACAUGUAAACGUCCCCUCGGGCACCUGAAGAGGUAGCCAAUAUCGCCAUGUUGUUAUGAUCUGCUUUGUUUGUAUUGUAUCUGCAAUUUACAUUGAUCUUGUUGUCAAAGUUGGAAGUUCAGAACUUAGAAUUCCAUUUUUGUUUGUUGUACUCUCAAACCAGUAUAUUGUACGCAAUAUCUCAAGUAAAAUUCUACUCUUUUUCUACCAUUAUUAGAAAAUAUACAAUUCGCUACUGUCGCCAUUAUAGCUUACAAACUGCAGUUUCCAUUGAUGACUGUUUACAUGUACAGUAUGAGACCAUUUCUCAUGUUAGUUUGCAGGAAAAAUAAAAGAAACCGCUUUCUACAUGCAAAAGGGCAUCAAAUUUUGGAAGAAGUAUGGCGUUGAAUGAAAAAAUGAGGGAAAAAAGGAUCCUCAAGCAAAUCAAGCAAUGGAAAUCUUCCUUGGUGGAGCUAGUAAUGCAAAGCUGCAAAGCUUCAGUUUUAUGUAAUCUUGUCUAAAUUGUGAUAAUUUUAUGUUGCUGUGAACCUCUGCUGUAUUGUUAAGAUUGAACAUUUCACAAAGUCCUAUGUUGAAGCUCCUCCUUCUGUUUUUCAUUUAUGUGUACUUCUAUGGUUCAAUUUAAUGCAAACCAUUUUUGUAUGUGUGAACAUCAAAGGUUCAGUGUUAUAUUCUUGCUCAUUUUGGUGCUGGUAAGGAUCUCAUCUCAAAAUCCUAGUGCCAGCCAAACAUGAAAUUUGGAUUUGGAAUUUGGAUUCAGGCAAAUGAAAUCUUGAUGGAGAUUCCAUUUCAUUUCCACCAAAUGAAAUGAAAUCAGGGGAGCCAAACGAGCUGUAACAGUAAAAGUUCAAGUGUGACUGUAUGAGUCCUUGCAUUGCAUGUCCCUCCAUUAGGUGUGUUUCUUCUAUAUAAAGUGCAGUGAGCAGCUGAGUUAACUCAAUCAUUCAUCGGCAUAUACGUACAGACAACUUAUGCAUCAACAUGAGGUAAGUAGGUAGGUGUAGCCCUUUGCACUUUGUUACAGUGCGCAUGUGCACUUGUUUCUUCUUCUUUUGGAGCCAUGUACACGAUGAAACCAUUUUUUGUGUUCUUCAGCACCUCAGCCUUCCCAUGGAUCCUGCUGUCUUGUUCUCUUCCUUUUGGUGUGAGUUUGGAAUUAAAGUUCAGACAUAACACGGGAAGAAAAACUUCAGAGAAUUCUUUGCAUGUUGUUAGAUCAUGAUGGACUUUUCAUACAUGUUUAUGCUAGUUAGUACUCUCUUUUGUGUUUCAAGCCUUGUGUUUCAUGAAGAGAGAUAGAGACAUUUGUUGGCGACGAUAGAACGCAAAAAAGGUUAUGGAAUACCAAUGAUAGAAGUUCAUGUAUAUGAAGGUUGAUGCUUCGCGUGUUGCGUGUAUACACGGGAGCUCACAAGAAAUCAUGUUGUGCCAUCAUUCAGUAGCAGUUCAAUAAGAAAACCUGCAGUAGUUCUAUUAGUAUUAUUCCAUCAGAAAAAAAUCAAGUUAUGCUUCUUGAUGUUGACAACAACAAAAAACGCCAUUUUUUGCGGCAAAAUUAUGCAAAAAAUUACAGUGGAAUACGGUGCUCUCAAAAAGUUUUAGUGGUGUCCAUAAGAACGCAACAUUUUUUCUAUUUUCCUUUCCUUUUUUGUAUAUAUAAGAAUGCAUAAAACUUGAGCCGGUCAGGGACAUAUCGUCGAGAAGUUCAUGUAUAAAUGGACUUGUUAACUCUGAAAGUUCAAAACUAAUAAAAUGGAGAGGUCAAAGAAAAUGAAAAACAAAAAAGUUCAAACAAUUUCCAUGGAUUUCGAUGGAUCUUUCUGAUAUAUGAAGAAAACCAGAAGUUCAAAUUCAAAUAGAUGAGCGGUUCGAUGUUUAUUACAAACCUAGGAAUUUUCCAUUACUAAAAGAAAUAAAAUGAAGAAGUUCAAAUUUUAAAAAUGGAGCAGUUUGAUAUUAUAUUUGAAAACUCGGAUUUUUCUGGUUACUAAAGAAAAAACCAAUAAGUUCAAUUCAAAAUAACGAAGAAGUUCAAUUGGGAAAAGCAUAGCGGUUUGAUAUUUACUUAAAAAUUCGGAUUUUUCUGAUUACUAAAGAAUAAAACCAACAAGUUCAAUUGAAAAUAACGAAGAAGUUCGAUGUUUCUAACAAAACUCCAAUUUUCUAUUUCUAAAAAUACACAAUGAAGUUCAAAUAAAAGAAAGUAGAGCGCUUCAAUGUAAAACUCGGAUAUUUUCACGUAAUCGAGAGAAGUUUAGAUUGAUAGUUGCCAGAAGUUCACAUACUACACGGUGUGCAUUUUGUAAUAAAAGAUAAUAAAAAAGCAAAAUGCUAAAAAAAAUUGUUGCUAGAAGUUCAAGUGCUCGACCCGAGAAAGUUCAAAAAUUCUUGUGAGAGAGGUUGAACAAAAAUACGUGACAGAAGUUCAAGGUGAAAAUAGCGGGGAGUUCAACUACUAGACAGAAUGCGUUUCAGAUAAGAAUAUAGAAAUUGAAAACUAAAAGCUUAAAAGGUUUGUUGCAAGCAUAGUUCAAAAAUUCAUGUGCGAGACGUCCAUCGUUCAUUUACAUAUGUCUACGGCAACAAAUUUGUAACAAAUGUCUACAUGAAAAACUUGCCGCUAUUCAUAAGCUUUCCACCAGGUAUAUUAUGUGCCACAUUUCGAUGAAAGGUUUAAAAUUUUCUUGUAUACCAUUUAAAACACAUUUUUAUGUAUUCAAAAAAUUCUUAUCUGUUGAAAGAAGUUCAUAGUGAAAACAACGAGAAGUUCAAGUACUGCAAGGAAUGCAUUUCACGUGAGAAUAAAAGUAUAGAAAAAUAAAAGUUUAAAAGGUUUGUUGAAAUAAGUUCAAGUGCUCUGUUCGGAGAAGUUCAAAAUUUCUUGCGAGAGAGGUUCACCUUGUAUUUCCAUGUUCGACUUUUUCCGUAUAAAAUCGAAUACAAUUCUUUACUCAAAAUAUAAAAAGGUGAUGUUCAAAUUGAAAUAACAAAGAAGUUCGGAGUUUAUUAAAACCUAGGACUUACCUGUUCAAAAAAUAAAAAACACAACGCCAUUUUUUCCACUUUUAAAAACAACUUAUAAACGAAAAAAUGGUUGCUAGAAGUUCAAGUGCUCGGCGAGGAAAAGUUAAAAAAAUUCUUGUGAGAGAGGUUCACCAUGUAUUUAGAUGUCCAAAAUACAUAAAAAAGAUGUUGUUUUUUGUGUUUUAAAAUAAUUCGCUCAAACCAGAGAGAAGUUCCAAGUGAUAACAACCGGAAGUUCACGUACUACAUGGUGUGUAUUUCAUAUAAGAAAAAUACAAUAAAGUGAAACAGAGUGAAGUUCAAACAGACAUGCCCCAGAAGUCCAACUACUUCACGUAGUGCAACAAACAACACGUCAAAAACAGAGUGAAGUUCAAAUAGACAUGCCCGAGAAGUUCAACUACUUCACGCAGUGCGUUUCCAUUCGCAAUGAAGGCAGAAAUCAUGAUCUCGUCAUUUCUCAAAUUUACUUCAAAAUGACAGGAAUAUCAUUUGUGUAAGUUCAAGUCCUCGAUCGGAGAAAGUUAAAAAAAAUGUGUGAGAGGUUUGUACAAAAAGAAUAUCAUUUGUGUAACGCUGACGAAAUGGAUGAGAAAAUUACAAAUGAAAAUACGUCACAGAAGUUCAACGUGAAAACAGCACGAAGUUCGACUACUAUAGUGAAUGAAUUUGAGAUGAAAAACUUUUAAAAUUGUCGCGAGUAUGAAAAAACGAUCAACACGAGAAAGUUGCGUGUUCACAGCAGCUUUCCAUCGGUAUAUCGCUUGCUCAAUUCCGGUGAGUGAAUGGAGAGCUACAAGCAGUGGAUGGAGAUCUACGAGCAAAAAAAGCACGUGAAAAACAGAGUGAAGUUCAAGUAGACAUGCCGAGAAGUUCAGGUUCUUCACGUGGUGCAUUUUCGAAGGAUCUGUUUCGCGAUAAAGGCAGAACAAAUGAUCUCGCCAUUUUUGAAAUUACUUGAAAACGGCUGGGAAUCACAGAAAACCAUCAGCAUGAAAAAGUUUCGCAUUUUCCUUAGCUUUUCAACGGUAUAUUAUUUGCCCCAUUCCGAUAAAGUUUGUAGAAAUUACAGCGAAAAUACGUUUUUAGCCAUUUUCAAAAUUGACAUAAAACUGAAGGAAUUGGGAGAAAUAAUAUAUACCAAAAUGUUUCGCAUUUCCUCAAGCUUUCCAACGCCAUAUCAUUUGCUGCAUUCGGACAUACAGUUAAAAAAGUAGAUCGAAAAUACGAACUCGGUGGAACUUGUACCAUUUUCUAAAUUACUCUUAAGCCGUUCAAAAUUGGAAAAAACUUUCUACAUGAAAAAGUAGCGCAUUUUCAUAAGCUUUCCAACGCCAUAUCAUUUGCCUCAAUUGGUUUAGCCGUUUAGAAAUAACAUCGAAAAUACGAACUCGGCUGUUCGAUUUGUAAAAUUUUAUGAUUUUCCAAAUUACUCUUUAACCGUAGGGAAUUAGAGAAAACUUUCAACAUGUGGAAGGAGCGGUUUUGCAGCAGCUUUCCAAUGCCAUAUUAUUUGCCUUAUUCCGAUAAACGGUUUAGAAAUGCGAUCGAAAAUACGAUUCACAUUUUUUGUAUGAAGAAAAAACAGUUUUCAAAACUGCUCUUAAACCGCUUACAUUUUGCCAAAAAUUUAACUUGAGUCUUGAUACUGGUGUCCAUAGAUUUCCAAUGGUAUAUCGCAAGAGCCAUUGAGCAAUGUUGGCGGAAGUUCAACCUAGCACUGGGAGAAGUUCAGGUCGAACAACUCAGGCAGUAAAAUUGCAAAAAACGCAAUUUCAUCACGACCCGAGAGCAAAAUCUGUCAACGAGCGAGAUUCCUAUUUAAAACUGGUAUUUAGUUGCUAAAAAACGUUUCUAGAUUACACUAACAUCAUAUAGAACACGAUUAACAAGAAUAAUUCGCGGGGGAAGCCACGGUUGCGAAGAUAGCCUGAAGUUCGGGUUUGUACGGAGGGAAGUUCAGGCGUGUUAUUCAGGCAAUUCAGGUGGUGAUCAGAAUAUUAUUCUGCGCUCUCGCUUAGUUUAACAUGUGUGUGUGUGUCUAUAUAUAUAUAUAUAUAUAUAUAUAUAUAUAUAUAUAUAUAUAUAUAUAUCAUAUCUACCACCAGUGGUAGUUACCACCACUUGAGUUUUGGAUGUUGUAUGUAGUAUCUAUCAAAGAAGAGAGUAUGUACGCGUAGUAUGUAGUAUAUAAGAAUGUUUAGGUACUAUAUAUACUACUUUUUUGGUAGUAUAUAUCGUAUUUUGAGUAUGCUCCUUUUUACGUAAAUAUGUACGUAUUUCACAAAUAUAAUAAAACCAUGGGCUAACUUGCAAUUUUUUCAUGUAACUUAAUUUAGAGUAUGUUAUAUAUAGUAUAUGAACAUACUUAAAAUGAUAAAGUAGAAUAUAUACUACCACAUGAUAGUAUAUGAGACAUGUGGGUAUAUAUAUAUAUACACACACAUGUUAAACUAAGCGAGAGCGCACUUUAAGUAAUCCUACGCUCCGGCCUAUCCGGUCCAGCCCGUGGUCUGCGCCAACCAUCCCGCGCUUCCGUGAAUAAGUGAUGGGAACUAGUAAUAAGAAACGGACAUGCAUGCCAUCGGUCCCACGCGCCUCGCCAGUAAAACUACUAAAAUUAGUGUUGGGAAUGUAGUAACAAGAGGUGUAGUCUUUACCAGAAUUUUGUUUCAUCUGAUGAUAGUAAACUUAUAAAAGAUAUUAGUAAAUCUAGUUUUGUGCUGUGUCUAUUUUAUGUCGUAAUUUUCUAUUUCACGAUUAGACCUUAAUAGUUCUCACUAGCCUGUGAUUUGACUCAAUUUAUAAAUGUCGUAAUUUUCUAUUAAACAUUUUCCUCUUGUAAUCAUACCAAAGGUUGUAAUUUUCUAACUAUUUUUUUUUUAAAAAUCUUGCUCUAAUUUUUACCAUGCAUUCAUUUGCAUCUUUGUUUCAAAAACGUUUCAGCCUUUUACAUUUACUUAUUAAUAAUUGGCUUAGACCAAAUCGUAAUGCUAUUACUAUCUACGCAGCAAUAGCAAUUUUCUCUGUACUGGCUGUAAUGAAAUUACUACCAAAUAAUUAGCUUAGUACAAAUGGUAAUGCUAUUACUGCCUAUGUGGAAAUAGCAAUUUGCUUUGUACUGGUCGUAAUGAAAUUACCACCAAGUAAUUGGCUCAGUGCAAAUCGUGAUGCUAUUACUAUCUAGGUUGUACUGGACAUAAUGUAAUUACCACCAAGUAAUUGGCUGACAAAAAAUUGUAAUGCUAUUACUAUCUGUGCAGUAGCAGCAAUUGGCUCUAGACGACCGUAAUGCUAUUACCACCAAGUGAUUGGCUUAGACCAUAUUAUAAAGCUAUUACUACCUAGGCAUCAUCGGCAAUUGGCUCUAUACCGGUCGUACUGUGGUACGGCACGUGAAACUAAGUAAAGCAUUUCACUCCAUUACCAUAUAUACACAAGCACUUUUACGAUCAUUAGCAAAUAUAGACGCGAGACGGAGUUGGGGCGAUGGCACCCGUAACGAAAUUAAAUCCAUUACGAUAAUUGCUUUUGUUUUGACCAUCAUUUGCCACAGAGAGGCUGCGGGCAACGAGCGGAGCGCACGAUUUUANNNNNNNNNNNNNNNNNNNNNNNNNNNNNNNNNNNNNNNNNNNNNNNNNNNNNNNNNNNNNNNNNNNNNNNNNNNNNNNNNNNNNNNNNNNNNNNNNNNNNNNNNNNNNNNNNNNNNNNNNNNNNNNNNNNNNNNNNNNNNNNNNNNNNNNNNNNNNNNNNNNNNNNNNNNNNNNNNNNNNNNNNNNNNNNNNNNNNNNNNNNNNNNNNNNNNNNNNNNNNNNNNNNNNNNNNNNNNNNNNNNNNNNNNNNNNNNNNNNNNNNNNNNNNNNNNNNNNNNNNNNNNNNNNNNNNNNNNNNNNNNNNNNNNNNNNNNNNNNNNNNNNNNNNNNNNNNNNNNNNNNNNNNNNNNNNNNNNNNGACACUGAACAUUUUUUAGUAUACAAUGGACUUUUUUUACAAAACACAUAUGAACAAUCUUCUAGAACAUAUUUUAUAUUUUUAAUAGGCUGUUAAAAUAUCUAUCUCCUAAAAACAUCAGUCUUUUUUAAUGAAAAAUGACUUAAUAACCAAAGAAGAAAAAAAACAG